rnacentral:lncRNA from 1 species
GCUGCAAGUUAAGAAAAGCCUUCAAAGCCCUGGGUUCUUGAUUUCCCUUUUACUUUCAGCAUUUUGCCUUGAAUGAACGACCUCAAAUAACUUAGAUAUUCAAAAAUUGAUGAAUGGCACUUAGCAAGGUACAACUCAAAUAAAGAUGAUGAGAACUAAGUCAGCCACCAGUGGCCUGAAAAUUCAUGGCAGCAGCAUGCUUCCUGUGGAGGCAUCUCUUCGUGACAUUUUCAAAGGGUUCUUCCCAUCCAUCCACUUUCCCAAAAUCCUCUGCAAUUUAAGGAAUAUCUCCCACACUGGCCUGUGGUGUU